ensembl:lncRNA
GGCUGAGCUGGCCUGAGGAUCUGGGGAAUGGGGCACCCUCAGGAGGCGGCUGGAGGAGACAGGCACCCGGUCCACACCACUGCCCCUCCCUCAGACCUCCAUGCCCUCCCCCAGAUAGAGGGUGGUGCAAAGGCCGCCCUGCUCAGGGACUGCAGUUGUUACACGCCCGUCAGCCAGUGCUCUGGGAGGCUGAGGCAGGAGGACCGCAAGCUGAAGCCCAGCCUGGGCAAUUUAGUGACUCAGGAAGACCUCGUCUUGGAUGACAGAGAAGCAGCACAAGGUGGAAAAGGCCUCUGCACACAGGCCUCAGAGUCGUCUGCCUGCUGGCCAUAGACACAUCUGGGAGUUAGGAGGGGCGGCACGGAGACAGGGUGGGCUCCCAGCUGUACCGGGACAGAGUCCGUGCUGACGUCCAAGUCAGCCUCAGCUUCCUAUCUGAAACGGCUCCAUGGCUGAGGGGGCCCAGCAGCCCGGGAGCUCCCGCCCUUCCUGGCCACUGCACAAUGCUGGCCCUCACUCUCCUCCCCCCCUUCAGGUGUCCCUAAGUGAUAACCAUCAAAUAAACGGCCAUCGAGGCCAGUGGGUGUCGCCUUUGGCGUUGGGGCCCCCUCUGCAUGCUGAAAAGUUACUGAGGACUCCAGAUACGAGUGUGAUUGAAAUACAUGUUGAAUGUUUAAAAUUUUAUUACAGCAAAAGACUGCCUGAAUGCCCUUCAAAACCCUCCUCCCCUCACUUCAAAUACACCUGUCCCGUCGUCCUUGCCACUCUGAAGCAGUUCUGGAGGCUGCUUUCUUUAUGAGGCUGAGAAAUCUUGGGAGGCACAAGAAUAGAGGAGCACAUGACCCACCAGCCAGCAGGGGACAGUGUCGCCCACGUCAGCACCUCUGCAGCCUCCUGAGAGGACCAGAGAAAGAAGCCAGUCAUGCCAAAGAGCCAGAGGGAAGGAAAACAGUGAUAUCAAGGGCCUGAAGAGGCCUCAGGGACCCUCGGUGGCACCCAGAGAACCCAGUGAGGCCUUCUCCAGAGCCUCUGUGGAGAGCUGCCUGGGCAGAAGGCCUUGGAGGGGCUUGGGAAGGAAGGAAGAGACCAGGACUCGGGAGGAGGAGAGGCCCAGGUGUCUGAAGUUCCGGAUGGGCCAGCCGGGCCUCGGGAAGAGUGGGAGCCUGGGGUGUGACAGCCGAUCCUGGCCCCUCAGCUUGAACAGAUCAAGGGCCACCUAGCGGGGCAGAGGACUCAGUUCUGGGCGUGCUUGUGCGUGACUGACAUGGAGACCUGCCUGGAUGUGGUGGCCCCAUUAGGACUGGAUGGGAUAAAGAGGAAAGAAGAAGGAAGUGGCCCCAUUUUGCAAGAGUUCCAGUCAUCGCCAUCCCCUUUGGACCUCGGAUUUCGGUGUCUGCCACCUUCAAGGCAGACCCCAUCUCGACUCUGCCCAGUGAGCCUUCAGGCUUCCACCCUGGACGGGUGCUGCAUCCUUGAUUGCUGUGUCCCAGCUUCCCCCUUCUCAGGCCGGGCAGCUGCCGGGCACCCUGGGUCUCCAGCAGGCAGAGGCCACCGAGGGCUCUCCUGCCCGGACCCAGUAAGCUACCCAGCAAACCCCCUGCAUGACCACACAUGUGUCCUGCUGACCCUGUUUCUCUUGAGAACCCUCACUAAUGGGGCCAGGGACCCCUGAGAACCUUUUCAAAGGAGGGUGAUGGGGACCCCAGGGUUAGAGACAAAAGGGGCAGGACCAGGGGCACCGACUGGGCAGGGGUUGUAGCUCUUUCUUUGCCAGACUUUGCUGCUGAGAAAUCACCCCAAGGAACAACAGGCUUAGACCCAGUCCUGAGCUCCCCAGAUGCAGGCCGGGCAGCUGAGGGCCUCAGUCUCAGGGAGGACGUACUCUGGGGGCCCAGAGCUGCUCGUCCCUGUGCUCUGCAAGGACACAUGCUACACUCCAUGCUUCCCAUCCACCAUGGGAGAACAAGGCACUCUCCUGCACACGCCACAAUGUCUCACAGACUACCUUCAGGACUGGUCCAGCUCCAUGGGGACCAGGGGGCUGACCCAGGGCCAACUGUGGUACAAGAACUGAAAUUACUUCAUAUUUUCCAUUGCUAUAAACCAAUGCAGGCCUCCCGGUGACAGAUGAGCUCAGGAUGGGUAGAUGCGAACCCUGACUGUAAGCACACCAGGAGGCUGUGCGUGUGGGGGAGAAACCAGCCAGCAGGGUCACCUGUGUGAUCCCAUUCAUAUGAGGUGUCUGACUGGCAAACUGCGGACACUAACAGAUUAGCGGUCACAACCAGCUGGGGCAUGGAGGGGCUGCUAAAUAAAGGUCCUG